GACGAACGCUGGCGGCGUGCUUAACACAUGCAAGUCGAGCGGUAAGGCCCUUCGGGUACACGAGCGGCGAACGGUGAGUAACACGUGGGUGACCUGCCUCUAGCUCUGGGAUAAGCCUGGGAAACUGGGUCUAAUACCGGAUAUGACUCCACGGCGCAUGUUGUGGGGUGGAAAGCCUUGUGUGGCUAGAGAUGGGCCCGCGGCCU
rnacentral:rRNA from 1 species